GGAGGGGCUACACCAAAGCCAGAGCAGCGCUCCCUCCCCCGCCUCUCCUAGAGCGCGCGCUCCUCCUCCUCGUCCUCCGCAGCACCCCCUGGCGGGCAGACGUCGCCAUAGCGGACCCGAGACCUUUCCCACGCACCGAGGCCCGGAGGCUGGGAAAGCGGCCGAGCCAGCUGUCCAGGAGCACUGCGCCCUCCCUGGGCUUCUCGGCGGUCUCCUGGGGCCUGGCGUGUGCGUUCCGGAGGAGGGCGGCCCCCGGGUCUGGGAGCCGAGGAGCCGUGACCCCAGAGAGGGCUGCCCUCGCAGCCCCCUUCCCCCGUGGGAGGCGGAGCUUUGUGGGGAGGGCUCCGAACCCCGUCCAGACCCUCCCACGGGCCUUCGAGAUUUCCCACGGGGCCACCCAGCCUCAGGCUCCAGCCCCCUGCCAACGGAGAAACCCUGCCCACUGCCUCCCCUCCCCCGGCAGCCUCGGCUCCUGCUGUCCGACUCCCCCAAGGCUUCUUCCCUUUUUUAGAAGUCGGCGGCCGUGAUUUAUCCGGCAGCUGCUGCGGAAUGGGAGGGGGGGGGGGAGAGAAGGGGGAGGGGAAGGGAGAAGAGGAGAAGGAAAGGAGGGGAGGGGGAGGAAGGUAAACGGGAGGAGGGGAGGAGGGGAGGAGAGGAGGAGAGGAGGAUCCUUUGGUCACCGGUGUUAGGGGCUGUUCUUUGGGUCUGCAUCCCCGUCCCCGGUCCAUGGCCCCCAGCAGCCUGGGGCCGAGUCUCCUCGCCUUUAGCCCUUAUUAGGCGCCUCCUGGAUGCCUGCACUCGACUGGAGCAACCCACUUUCAACUGCGGGUGAACUAGACGUACAUGCGGGGAGGGGGCAGGGAGUCCACCAUCUCGGAGCAGACUACAAGUCCCAGCAGUCUCCGCGGCGGCGGCGGCGGGGAGGGGCACUUACCACAUGACGCCCUGCGACGUGCCGUGAUGUGUGCGGGCGGGCCCGAUGAGCCGCUACGUGCUGCCUCUGUCUGUAGCCGGGAGCCUCCUGGGGGCCGCUGUGCUUCUCCGGGACUCGGUCGGUGGAGGGCGCUGCCCCAGCAAGGCCACCAUCCAUGGGAAGACGGUCAUCAUCACGGGGGCCAAUACUGGCAUUGGGAAGGAGACUGCCCGCGAGUUGGCCCGGAGGGGUAAAGUCUCAGCCCCAAGGGCUCAAUCUUCCAUCCCCUCCUAGAGAGGGAACCCUGAAUUUGGAACCCGGGAGGCCUAGGUUCAAAUCCUGCCUCAGACACUUCCUGGCAAUGGGCCUUUGGGCACGUCUGCAAAAACUCAGGGGCCUCCAGGACCCUUCCCAGCUCCAGGUCUAAGACGGUCUGAUCCAGGGGGGUGGCGAGGAAGGGCAGGGUAGCUGUGUGGGGUGCGCCUCGCUUUGACCUUCAGGUUCUCUUUCAUUCAGCAAAUACCAGGAUUUCAGGGUUGGAAGUGGCCUUGGAGGCUCCUCAUUCCUCUGGUACCUGAAAAACCAGUCCUUGAGAGGAGUCAGGCAG
ensembl:lncRNA